UGUAGAGGACAGUGUGUAGAGGACAGUGUGUAUAUAUGUAGAUAAAAUACUGUGUGAUCUUUUGUCUUCAGGUCAGCAGUGUUGUGUAUAUUAGUUGGCUGGGGUCUUCAGGUCAGCAGUAUUGUGUAUAUUAGUUGGCUGGGGUCAUGAGGUCAGCAGUAUUGUGUAUAUUAGUUGGCUGGGGUCAUGAGGUCAGCAGUAUUGUGUAUAUUAGUUGGCUGGGGUCAUGAGGUCAGCAGUAUUGUGUAUAUUAGUUGGCUGGGGUCAUGAGGUCAGCAGUAUUGUGUAUAUUAGUUGGCUGGGGUCAUUAGGUCAGCAGUAUUGUGUAUAUUAGUUGGCUGGGGUCAUGAGGUCAGCAGUAUUGUGUAUAUUAGUUGGCUGGGGUCAUGAGGUCAGCAGUAUUGUGUAUAUUAGUUGGCUGGGGUCAUUAGGUCAGCAGUAUUGUGUAUAUUAGUUGGCUGGGGUCAUGAGGUCAGCAGUAUUGUGUAUAUUAGUUGGCUGGGGUCAUUAGGUCAGCAGUAUUGUGUAUAUUAGUUGGCUGGGGUCAUUAGGUCAGCAGUAUUGUGUAUAUUAGUUGGCUGGGGUCAUGAGGUCAGCAGUAUUGUGUAUAUUAGUUGGCUGGGGUCAUGAGGUCAGCAGUAUUGUGUUGUGUAUAUUAGUUGGCUGGGGUCAUGAGGUCAGCAGUAUUGUGUAUAUUAGUUAGCUGGGGUCAUGAGGUCAGCAGUAUUGUGUAUAUUAGUUGGCUGGGGUCAUUAGGUCAGCAGUAUUGUGUAUAUUAGUUGGCUGGGGUCAUUAGGUCAGCAGUAUUGUGUAUAUUAGUUGGCUGGGGUCAUGAGGUCAGCAGUAUUGUGUAUAUUAGUUGGCUGGGGUUAUUAGGUCAGCAGUAUUGUGUAUAUUAGUUGGCUGGGGUCAUGAGGUCAGCAGUAUUGUGUAUAUUAGUUGGCUGGGGUCAUUAGGUCAGCAGUAUUGUGUAUAUUAGUUGGCUGGGGUCAUGAGGUCAGCAGUAUUGUGUAUAUUAGUUGGCUGGGGUCAUUAGGUCAGCAGUAUUGUGUAUAUUAGUUGGCUGGGGUCAUGAGGUCAGCAGUAUUGUGUAUAUUAGUUGUCUGGGGUCUUUAGGUCAGCAGUAUUGUGUAUAUUAGUUGGCUGGGGUCUUUAGGUCAGCAGUAUUGUGUAUAUUAGUUGGCUGGGGUCAUUAGGUCAGCAGUAUUGUGUAUAUUAGUUAGCUGGGGUCUUUAGGUUAACGCCCAAGCCAGGUGACACCAUACCACUGCUGCCCGGGUGCACAUCAUGCAUGCACCACACACAUACUGUUGCACCAGGCUGAGGGGGGACUCCCGUUCCUGCGACACACACGUGUGUCGCUUUCAGAUUGAUUAAGCCUAAUCAACCGGAACAAAACAUUGGUUCGGUCAGGUCAUAUACACACUAGCCGUGUGUUCCUUAUCGGUUGUUUUCCCCAAGCGGCCGCAGAUUCAUUCAUUGAUUCGGUUCGCCAACACCGUUCUAUAAUAGUCUAUAGCGCCGCAGAAUACAUACACCCACCGCAGCCCCGGCCAUAACAGACGAAUGGAUGGCCAAGCAACAACCGUAUACAUUUAGCUUCUCUUAGCUUAUAUUGUGUAGGCUACAUCUCAGAGCGUGUUUCUAAACCGUAGACUACGUGGAGAGACGGAGAAGUGAAGAACGGGCGCGUCACGUUUCCUACGGUCUUCCCCUCUCUCACUCCCUAUUCCGCAGUAGUCUAUUCCUAUACCCUAGAGAGAACAGAAGCACGAGCCCCACCACCAACAAACCCCAAUAUACCAGAUCAAUAACACUAGUAUACAGUAGUAGCAGUGUCUUUAAUAACCCAGAGAAAAACACUGAUUUCAAAAUCACACUUAUAAAACCCCAGGAAUAAAAGGAGAAUCCGGUGCGUAAAA